rnacentral:rRNA from 1 species
UACGUAGGGUGCAGGCGUUAAUCGGAAUUACUGGGCGUAAAGCGUGCGCAGGCGGUUUGUUAAGACAGAUGUGAAAUCCCCGGGCUUAACCUGGGAACUGCGUUUGUUACUGGCAAGCUAGAGUGUGGCAGAGGGGGGUGGAAUUCCAGGUGUAGCGGUGAAAUGCGUAGAUAUCUGGAGGAACACCGGUGGCGAAGGCGGCAUCCUGGACCGAGAUUGACGCUGAUGCGCGAAAGCCAGGGGAGCAAACGGG